UACGGAGGGGGCUAGCGUUGUUCGGAAUUACUGGGCGUAAAGCGCGCGUAGGCGGCCAGAUAAGUCCGGUGUGAAAGCCACAGGCUCAACCUGUGAAUGCCGCUGGAAACUGUCUGGCUAGAGUCCGGGAGGGGCGAGUGGAAUUCCUGGUGUAGCGGUGAAAUGCGCAGAUAUCAGGAGGAACACCAAUGGCGAAGGCAGCUCGCUGGGACGUGACUGACGCUGGAGACGCGAAAGCGUGGGGAGCAAACAGG
rnacentral:rRNA from 1 species